rnacentral:rRNA from 1 species
AUUGAACGCUGGCGGCAGGCCUAACACAUGCAAGUCGAACGAGUGGCGGACGGGUGAGUAAUGUCUGGGAAACUGCCUGAUGGAGGGGGGUAACUACUGGAAACGGUAGCUAAUACCGCAUACCAUCGGAUGUGCCCAGAUGGGAUUAGCUAGUAGGUGGGGUAAAGGCUCACCUAGGCGACGAUCCCUAGCUGGUGUGAGAGGAUGACCACCCAAACUGGAACUGAGCCACGGUCCAUACUCCUACGGUAGUCAGCAGUGGGGAAUAUUUCACAAUGGGCGCAAGCCUUAUACAGCCAUGCCGCGUGGAUGAAGAAGGCCUUCGGGUUGUAAAGUACUUUCAGCGGGGAGGCGUUACCCGCAGAAGAAGCACCGGCUAACUCCGUGCCAGCCGCCGCGGUAAUAC